AUUGAACGCUGGCGGCAGGCCUAACACAUGCAAGUCGAGCGGAUGAAGGGAGCUUGCUCCUGGAUUCAGCGGCGGACGGGUGAGUAAUGCCUAGGAAUCUGCCUGGUAGUGGGGGAUAACGUCCGGAAACGGGCGCUAAUACCGCAUACGUCCUGAGGGAGAAAGUGGGGGAUCUUCGGACCUCACGCUAUCAGAUGAGCCUAGGUCGGAUUAGCUAGUUGGUGGGGUAAAGGCCUACCAAGGCGACGAUCCGUAACUGGUCUGAGAGGAUGAUCAGUCACACUGGAAAUGAGACACGGUCCAGACUCCUACGGGAGGAAGCAGUGGGGAAUAUUGGACGAUGGGCGAAAGCCUGAUCCAGCCAUGACGCGUGUGUGAAGAAGGUCUUCGGAUUGUAGAGCACUUUAAGUUGGGAGGAAGGGCAGUAAGUUAAUACCUUGCUGUUUUGACGUUACCAACAGAAUAAGCACCGGCUAACUUCGUG
rnacentral:rRNA from 1 species